UACGUAGGGUGCAAGCGUUGUCCGGAAUUAUUGGGCGUAAAGAGCUUGUAGGCGGUUUGUCGCGUCUGCUGUGAAAUUUCGGGGCUCAACCCCGAACUUGCAGUGGGUACGGGCAGACUAGAGUGUGGUAGGGGAGACUGGAAUUCCUGGUGUAGCGGUGAAAUGCGCAGAUAUCAGGAGGAACACCGAUGGCGAAGGCAGGUCUCUGGUACGUGACUGACGCUGAGACGCGAAAGCGUGGGGAGCGAACAGG
rnacentral:rRNA from 1 species